GUUCGCUCUGAAGGCCUGUUUCCUAGGCUACAUACGAGGGACUUGUUCCUUACCCUUCCGCCUAGGGGAAAGUCCCCGGACCAUGGGCAGAGAGUGCCGCGUGCACACGCGCGCAGACUUACCCCGCGAGUCACUGUUAGUCCGCCAAGAAGCGACCCCCUCUGGGGCGAGCCGAGCGGCGUGCGGCGGGGCGUCAUCCGUCAGCUCUCCUAGUAACGCAGGCAGUGCGCCUCCCGCGCACCAACCACACGGGGCUCAUUCUCAGCGCGGC
ensembl:ribozyme RNase_MRP RNase MRP